GGAGAGGUGGCUGAGCGGUCUAAGGCGCACGCCUGGAAAGCGUGUGAGGCGCAAGUCUCCCAGGGUUCGAAUCCCUGCCUCUCCG
rnacentral:tRNA from 1 species